CCCCAGCUGACGAGUCCAAAAUAGGACGAGACGCGCGCCUUGGAU
rnacentral:hammerhead_ribozyme from 1 species